rnacentral:rRNA from 1 species
GUACGCUUUGGAANCUGUUUAACUUGAGUGCAGAAGGGGAGAGUGGAAUUCCAUGUGUAGCGGUGAAAUGCGUAGAUAUAUGGAGGAACACCGGUGGCGAAAGCGGCUCUCUGGUCUGUAACUGACGCUGAGGCUCGAAAGCGUGGGGAGCAANCAGGAUUAGAUACCCUGGUAGUNCACGCCGUAAACGAUGAGUGCUAGGUGUUGGGUCCUUUCCGGGACUCAGUGCCGCAGCUAACGCAUUAAGCACUCCGCCUGGGGAGUACGACCGCAAGGUUGAAACUCAAAGGAAUUGACGGGGGCCCGCACAAGCGGUGGAGCAUGUGGUUUAAUUCGAAGCAACGCGAAGAACCUUACCAGGUCUUGACAUCCCGGUGCCCGUCCUAGAGAUAGGAUUUUGCUUCGGCACACCGGUGACAGGUGGUGCAUGGUUGUCGUCAGCUCGUGUCGUGAGAUGUUGGGUUAAGUCCCGCAACGAGCGCAACCCUUAUUGUUAGUUGCCAUCAUUUAGUUGGGCACUCUAGCGAGACUGCCGGUAAUAAACCGGAGGAAGGUGGGGAUGACGUCAAAUCAUCAUGCCCCUUAUGACCUGGGCUACACACGUGCUACAAUGGCUGGUACAACGAGUCGCAAGUCGGUGACGGCAAGCUAAUCUCUUAAAGCCAGUCUCAGUUCGGAUUGUAGGCUGCAACUCGCCUACAUGAAGUCGGAAUCGCUAGUAAUCGCGGAUCAGCACGCCGCGGUGAAUACGUUCCCGGGCCUUGUACACACCGCCCGUCACACCACGAGAGUUUGUAACACCCGAAGUCGGUGAGGUAACCUUUUAGGANCCA